GAUGAACGCUGGCGGCGUGCCUAAUACAUGCAAGUCGAGCGAAGAGACGAGGAGCUUGCUCCUCUGACGUUAGCGGCGGACGGGUGAGUAACACGUGGAUAACCUACCUAUAAGACUGGGAUAACUUCGGGAAACCGGAGCUAAUACCGGAUAAUAUAUUGAACCGCAUGGUUCAAUAGUGAAAGACGGUUUUGCUGUCACUUAUAGAUGGAUCCGCGCCGCAUUAGCUAGUUGGUAAGGUAACGGCUUACCAAGGCAACGAUGCGUAGCCGACCUGAGAGGGUGAUCGGCCACACUGGAACUGAGACACGGUCCAGACUCCUACGGGAGGCAGCAGUAGGGAAUCUUCCGCAAUGGGCGAAAGCUUGACGGAGCAACGCCGCGUGAGUGAUGAAGGUCUUCGGAUCGUAAAACUCUGUUAUUAGGGAAGAACAAAUGUGUAAGUAACUAUGCACGUCUUGACGGUACCUAAUCAGAAAGCCACGGCUAACUACGUG
rnacentral:rRNA from 1 species